UGCCUCAGUAACGGCGAGUGAAGCGGCAACAGCUCAAAUUUGAAAUCUGGCCCUCUCGGGGUCCGAGUUGUAAUUUGUAGAGGGUGCUUCGGGCGCGAUGCCGGUCUAAGUUCCUUGGAACAGGACGUCGUAGAGGGUGAGAAUCCCGUAUGCGACCGGCGAUCAAGCCCGUGCGAAGCCCCUUCGACGAGUCGAGUUGUUUGGGAAUGCAGCUCAAAAUGGGUGGUAAAUUUCAUCUAAAGCUAAAUACCGGCCAGAGACCGAUAGCGGACAAGUAGAGUGAUCGAAAGAUGAAAAGCACUUUGGAAAGAGAGUCAAACAGUACGUGAAAUUGUUGAAAGGGAAGCGCUUGCAAUCAGACCGGUCCGGAGGCGAUCAGCCGCUGCUCGUCAGCGGUGCACUCGCCUGCGAUCCGGCCAGCAUCGGUUUGGGCGGCGGGAUAAAAGUCCCGGGAAUGUAGCUUCUCCCGGGGAGUCUUAUAGCCCGGGUCGCAAUGCCGCCCGCCCGGACCGAGGACCGCGCUUCGGCUAGGAUGCUGGCGUAAUGGUUGCAAGCGACCCGUCUUGAAACACGGACCAAGGAGUCUAACAUCCAUGCGAGUGUUUGGGUGUCAAACCCAGGCGCGGAAUGAAAGUGAACGGAGGUGGGAACCCGUCAGACGGCGCACCAUCGACCGAUCCAGAUGUCUUCGGAUGGAUUUGAGUAUGAGCAUGGCUGUUGGGACCCGAAAGAUGGUGAACUAUGCCCGGAUAGGGUGAAGCCAGAGGAAACUCUGGUGGAGGCUCGCAGCGGUUCUGACGUGCAAAUCGAUCGUCAAAUCUAGGCAUAGGGGCGAAAGACCAAUCGAACCAUCUAGUAGCUGGUUCCUGUCGAAGUUUCCCUCAGGAUAGCAGUAACGUUUUCAGUUUUAUGAGGUAAAGCGAAUGAUUAGAGGCCUUGGGGCUGAAACAGCCUUAACCUAUUCUCAAACUUUAAAUAUGUAAGAAGUCCUUGUUACUUAGUUGAACGU
rnacentral:rRNA from 1 species